UACAGAGGGUGCAAGCGUUAAUCGGAAUUACUGGGCGUAAAGCGUGCGUAGACGGUUGCGUAAGUCAGAUGUGAAAGCCCCGGGCUCAACCUGGGAAUUGCAUUUGAGACUGCGUAGCUAGGGUGCGGAAGAGGGAAGCGGAAUUUCCGGUGUAGCGGUGAAAUGCGCAGAUAUCGGGAAGAACACCCGUGGCGAAGGCGGCUCUCUGGAACGCAACUGACGCUGAGACGCGAAAGCGUGGGGAGCAAACAGG
rnacentral:rRNA from 1 species